ACUCAAAGGAAUUGACGGGGGCCCGCACAAGCAGUGGAUUAUGUGGUUUAAUUCGAAGCAACGCGAAGAACCUUACCAAGGUUUGACAUCCAACGAAUCCGGCUGAAAGGCUGGGGUGCCCUUCGGGGAGCGUUGAGACAGGUGGUGCAUGGUUGUCGUCAGCUCGUGUCGUGAGAUGUUGGGUUAAGUCCCGCAACGAGCGCAACCCUUAUUGCUAGUUGCUACGGAAGAGCACUCUAGCGAGACUGCCGUUGACAAAACGGAGGAAGGUGGGGAUGACGUCAAAUCAUCAUGCCCCUUAUAUCUUGGGCUACACACGUAAUACAAUGGCGCAUUAACAGAGGGAUGCUAAGCCGCGAGGUGGAGCAAAUCCCUAAAAGGCGUCUCAGUUCGGAUCGCAGGCUGCAACCCGCCUGCGUGAAGUCGGAAUUGCUAGUAAUCGCGGAUCAGCAUGCCGCGGUGAAUACGUUCCCGGGCCUUGUACACACCGCCCGU
rnacentral:rRNA from 1 species